rnacentral:rRNA from 1 species
AUACCGCGAAACUGCGAAUGGCUCAUUAAAUCAGUUAUCGUUUAUUUGAUAGUACCUUACUACUUGGAUAACCGUGGUAAUUCUAGAGCUAAUACAUGCUAAAAAUCCCGACUCACGGAGGGAUGUAUUUAUUAGAUUAAAAACCAAUGCCCUCCGGGGCUCCUUGGUGAUUCAUAAUAACUUCUCGAAUCGCAUGGCCUUGUGCCGGCGAUGGUUCAUUCAAAUUUCUGCCCUAUCAACUUUCGAUGGCAGGGUCUUGGCCUGCCAUGGUUACAACGGGUAACGGAGGGUUAGGGCUCGACCCCGGAGAAGGAGCCUGAGAAACGGCUACUACAUCCAAGGAAGGCAGCAGGCGCGCAAAUUACCCAAUCCCGAUUCGGGGAGGUAGUGACAAUAAAUACUGAUACAGGGCUCUUUUGGGUCUUGUAAUUGGAAUGAGUACAAUUUAAAUCCCUUAACGAGUAACAAUUGGAGGGCAAGUCUGGUGCCAGCAGCCGCGGUAAUUCCAGCUCCAAUAGCGUAUAUUAAAGUUGUUGCAGUUAAAAAGCUCGUAGUUGAACCUUGGGCCUGGCUGGCCGGUCCGCCUCACCGCGUGCACUGGUUCGGCCGGGCCUUUCCCUCUGGGGAUCCCCAUGCCCUUCACUGGGUGUGGCGGGGAACCAGGACUUUUACUGUGAAAAAAUUAGAGUGUUCAAAGCAGGCCUAUGCUCGAAUACAUUAGCAUGGAAUAAUAGAAUAGGACGUGCGGUUCUAUUUUGUUGGUUUCUAGGACCGCCGUAAUGAUUAAUAGGGACAGUCGGGGGCAUCAGUAUUCAAUUGUCAGAGGUGAAAUUCUUGGAUUUAUUGAAGACUAACUACUGCGAAAGCAUUUGCCAAGGAUGUUUUCAUUAAUCAGGAACGAAAGUUAGGGGAUCGAAGACGAUCAGAUACCGUCGUAGUCUUAACCAUAAACU